UCUCAGCUCACUGAAACCUCUGCCUCCUGAGUUGAAGUGAUUCUUCUGCCUCAGCCUCCCAAGGCACCUCAGCUUUUGAAUGUGUGGCCACUGCCACCUUCAUGGCCCUGGGCAGCUCGACACUAAAUUUCCAACCACCCCUUCCGGUAUGAUGAGGCUGCCUGGCCAUCCUAGGUGGAAUCAACCACACUCAGCUCUGUGGAAGACGAAAUGCCCAACACUUCCCCAGAGCCGCCUGCAGCAACUGACACCCGCCUGCCUCGGCUGCUGCUCCACCUGCUCAGGCCUGCCUCCAGAGUUGUCAGAUAGGCGGCAAGCCAAAGGGAUCCUCAUGUUCACAGAAAGUCUUCCUGAAACCCAAGUGGACACCCAGAUCAGAGACCAUGAAGUGAAACAGAUGGAGAAACUCCCUGGAAAGUUUCACUGGGAACAAACACUGGAUUAUUCAGACUAGCCUGGACCGUGAAAAAAAUUCUACUAGAAGCAUUGUGAGCUGAAUCCAGGUGCCCUGGCUUCAAAUCCUAUCAGAGGUGGGUUCUGACAUGAGGUAGAUUAUGAGCCCACAGCCACCAGGAAGAACCAGUCACAGGCAAGAGCUUUUAGCCCUGCCCAGAAGGAAAGGACCACCAAGUUCCCAAAAGCAGCAGACAAGUGUCCUCCAGGAACUGAGAGACUCAGCCUGGUACUGUGUGCUAAUAAUUACACCGGGCUUUUUUGUUUUUUAAAGAAAAAUAAGUUGUAAAAUUCCAGCACUUUGGGAGGCCAAGGCAGGUGGAUCCCUUGAGCCCAGGAGUUUGAGACCAGCCUGGACAACAUAGUGAA